rnacentral:hammerhead_ribozyme from 1 species
GUCCAGCCGACGAGUCCCAAAUAGGACGAAACGCGCGUCCUGGAU